AUUUUCACUUGGCACCCUUAAUAAUCCAUAUAAUUUAGGAGUAUUUGGAAUAUCACAUCGCUUGCGACAAAUGAGUCACUUGCGGAAAGUGAAACAUUUUAGUGAAUUGUCGAAACAGGGAAUAACGGAGAUGAUCCCAUUAUCACACUCACUGACGUGAAUCCCCUGCACCGCUGCCAGCAAUGCCGACCCUGGGACAGGGAGGCAUGUGCGCGUGAAAUUCUCAUAUUAAAUAAACUCAAUGAUUUCCUAGAGUAUCAAGAUGAAUGGAAAAAACGAUCGAAGAAGGUUAAAAAGGGCCUGGAUCCAAAUUUAUUUCCUGCUCUUCCUGUAACUACGCAAAUGGACCUCCUACAACUCAAUCAGGAUUUAACUGAGAGUGAUACGCAUCGUGAUGAGCUAAUUCACUGGAAGAUGUAGGGGGAGACUAUAAACAAUUGGUGAACAAAGCAAUGAGCAAAGUGAUGACUAAUGAUGUAGGCCGUGUCUGUUGUUGGAAUGGUAUAACUCAAGGAUCAUUAAAAUUCCAAGGGACUACAGUGGCGGCUGCUGUACUGGAGGUAGUGAAGGAAAGAUACAAAGAACUUAACACGUUUUAUACCAAUGAGGCAAUUGGGCUCGCUAAAUAAGAAAACGCCACCUAGGGUCUAAGGCGCAUGGGCACUCACACACACAACACAACCAAAUUUUGGGUUUCUGUAGGCGCGUAUAUGAGUGCCGAAGAU